rnacentral:rRNA from 1 species
AUUGAACGCUGGCGGCAGGCCUAACACAUGCAAGUCGAGCGGCAGCGGGAAAGUAGCUUGCUACUUUUGCCGGCGAGCGGCGGACGGGUGAGUAAUGCCUGGGAAAUUGCCCAGUCGAGGGGGAUAACAGUUGGAAACGACUGCUAAUACCGCAUACGCCCUACGGGGGAAAGCAGGGGACCUUCGGGCCUUGCGCGAUUGGAUAUGCCCAGGUGGGGUUAGCUAGUUGGUGAGGUAAUGGCUCACCAAGGCGACGAUCCCUAGCUGGUCUGAGAGGAUUAUCAGCCACACUGGAACUGAACCACGGUCCAGACUCCUACGGGAGGCAGCAGUGGGGAAUAUUGCACAAUGGGGGAAACCCUGAUGCAGCCAUGCCGCGUGUGUGAAGAAGGCCUUCGGGUUGUAAAGCACUUUCAGCGAGGAGGAAAGGUUGAUGCCUAAUACGUAUCAACUGUGACGUUACUCGCAGAGGAAGCACCGGCUAACUCCGUGCCAGCAGCCGCAGUAACAC